GUUUUUCAUCUGGACCUGCAGAGAUGGGCAGAAUUAGAUGCCAGAGCUUCUUUAACACCUCGCUAGGAAACCAGAGAAGAGCUCAGCAGGGUGGCAAAUCUGAAGGCGCUCAAAAAGGAAGAAGAGCUUCAAGGAGCCAGAAGCCUCAGGGGCCUGCUUUCUACAUGGGAGAAUUCCAGGGACUUUUAAUGUGCUAAGCUAUGUGGGACAGUAGCUGGAUUUAAGAAUUAAGAAGUGGAAGAAUAGAAUUAGAGUCCCAGAUGACUUGAUGAAUUGGAGAACUCGGAAAAAAAAGAAAAACUAGCUCAGGAGGGAACGUUCUGGACGAUACAUGGAGGAAAUGAUCCU
rnacentral:lncRNA from 1 species